rnacentral:misc_RNA from 1 species
GAGAAACUGGGUCGACAAUAUGUCACAUAAUUGUAAGCAUGAUCAUCACCUUCAGACCUGCUUGGAUCGCGAGAAAUUUGAGAGGGCUUCACUCUAGGAGUGUCAACACAAGCAGCCAUGGGAUUACAAUGGAGAUGCUUAGAAAAGGAGUAAAUUGAUGAAGAAGCGAGUGUAAAGAAGAAAGGAUCGCGGAGAGAAGAAAAGGCCUUAUAUGGAGAAGGGGCUACGACCGGAACUUUCAUGGUUCCUGGGAAAAUUUUAUAGCGGAUAACGAACGCAACAACAAAAUGGUUUAAUCAGGCAGUCGUAAUAGUUAUGAACUCACCGCAUAAAAAUUUUAUACACACUAGAAAGCAGCCUCAUGAAACAGAUGGCACUCCACCUUUUCCUUAUGAAACAGAUGGCACCGUCACCUUUUCUCCUCUCUUAUAAUUUUUUCUCG